GACGAACGCUGGCGGCGUGCUUAACACAUGCAAGUCGAACGGACAAGCCCAGCUUGCUGGGUGGAUUAGUGGCGAACGGGUGAGUAACACGUGAGCAACGUGCCCGAGACUCUGGAAUAACUAACGGAAACGGUGGCUAAUACAGGCCAUGUGCCAGGGAGGCAUCCCCUCUUGUUGGAAAGAUUUUUCGGUUUCGGAUCGGCUCACGGCCUAUCACCUUGUUUGUGGGGGAAUGGCCUACCAAGGCGACGACGGGUAGCCGGCCUGAGAGGGGGACCGGCCACACGGGGACUGAGACACGGCGCAGACUCCUACGGGCGGCAGCAGUGGGGAGUAUUGCACAAUGGGCGCAAGCCUGAUGCAGCAACGCCGCGUGAGGGAUGACGGCCUUCGGGUUGUAAACCUCUUUUAGUGGGGAAGAAGCGCAAGUGACGGUACCUGCAGAAAAAGCACCGGCUAACUACGUG
rnacentral:rRNA from 1 species